rfam:Mustela putorius furo unplaced genomic scaffold scaffold00109, whole genome shotgun sequence.
AGCUUUGCACAGUGGCAGUAAAGUAGCCAAUGAGGUUUAUCCGAGGCACGAUUAUUGCUAAUUGGAUACUUCACAUAAGUGGAAUCAUUCAAUGCAAUCUUUUAGGUCUGGCUUAUUUCAUUUUUUAGGUUUACCCAUACAGUA